AUCCCGAAAGGGACGGCCGCUACGUGACUAGGGGGGUCACGCGCAGGGUCAUGGGGGACCGCCUGGGAUUCCCCGACGGCUGCGAGGAGGGAGCGUCGAAGUGCCGAGCCGUUUCCGGCUGCUUUCCUCCCUCCACUGCCUGCUCGCUUCGCCGCGCGCGAGCCGGACAGUGAGGCUGCAGCGGCGAAAGCCACUAAAGUCUGGGAGCAGCCGCGUGAGCUUCCCGGUCACUGGGAGGCCCCGAGAACAGACACCUCACCCUGACAUUGUAGCAGGGCCGAAAAACAUGUAAGAAGGGAGCCCCCCCCCCCCCCCCGCCCUUGCAGGUGCCGCUCAAGAACCACUCCCUCCAAGAUGUUUUCCUGGAUUUCCUCAGCCUAAAAUAAUCCCUCUUUUUCCUGAGAGUGUUGGGCAGUGCUGAGAAAAGGUUUUUGGGGUCAGAGAUGUAAGGACUUCUCUGACUGGCUUCUCCCAACAGAACCAGAUUCCAGCUGUGGAGCAAGGGCCAUGCCAUCUGGAACAGAUGACCUCCAAGGACACCAUAGCAAAGAAAAGGAGAACUGGAAGCCCAUGUGCCUUAAUCCCCUCAUCCCAGAGCAAUGCAAGAAUGGGCUAAUACAAAGUUGAUUCCAGCCUUCAUGGACGACUUUGAGGGGUUCAGGGCUUCAGUGGAGGAAGUCACUGCAGAUGUGGUGG